CAGCCGCCGGGUAAUACCGGCGGCCCGAGUGGCGGUCACUAUUAUUGGGCUUAAAGCGUCCGUAGCCGGGGUGGGAAGUCCUCCGGGAAAUCUGGCCGCUUAACGGUCAGAAUGCCGGAGGAUACUCCCAGCCUAGGGGGCGGGAGAGGCCGAGGGUAUUCCCGGAGUAGGGGUGAAAUCCUAUAAUUCCGGGAGGACCACCUGUGGGGAAGGCGCUCGGCUGGAACGCGUCCGACGGUGAGGGACGAAGGCCAGGGGAGCAAACCGGAUUAGAUGCCCGGGUAGUCCUGGCUGUAAACGAUGCGGACUUUGUGUCGGACAAGCUAUGAGCUUGUCCGGUGCCGGAGGGAAACCGUUAAGUCCGCCGCCUGGGGAGUACGGCCGCAAGGCUGAAACUUAAAGGAAUUGGCGGG
rnacentral:rRNA from 1 species